rnacentral:lncRNA from 1 species
ACCACUGGACCGCCAAGGAAGUCCCUACCUCUAUCACUCCUUAAAAAGGAAUAUUUAGAAUGUAUUGUGUGACAUUGCUGAUUUGAGAUCAGUCUAGACUAAUCUCACCAAUCAGGCUAUCAAGUGGAGGAAGCAGGGUAACAGUACAGCUAAGAUCAUUCAACAGGAAAAAUUAAAACAGGAUGAGGCGCCACUUGGCUUCCACUGGCCAUUUGGUAAGCUUCUAGGCCAUAACAUACCCAAAACGUCCAGGUGUUCAGAUUUUCCUGUGUAGUGGAAUAUCUCAAAAAUAUAUAUCAAGUAUGCAGUACUGUCAUAGAGUUUCAAUCCGUUAUGAAAGGCAGGGUAAGUAAGAUAGCUGAAGUCAAGCAUUGUCUACCUCAGGGUCGGUAAACUACAGCUUCAAUCUCAAUAUUAAGUUUAUCAUUCUCACUACCUAUCUUUUAUGCUCACUCUCUUUAGUAUCCUAAUUCCAGUAAUCCUGCAACUGCACCAAGACCAAAAUCCACUGAUACAGAUCACAUUUUCACUGUCCCUCACCUCUUCAUGUGUACAUUUCCCACUUUGCCCACCUUAAAAUCCAUAAUCCAUCAUUAUAAGCACUGUUUCUGCAUGUCUCCCCUGUGUCAUCAGGUUUUCCCUUUACUGCUCUGUGAUCAACAUACAAAUAGGCUAUUAUUUAUCCUACGUUAAAAAACAUUUCAACUCCACUUCUCCCUCCUGCUGUUGUGUCACUAUUGUAGCUUCCCCUUUACAUUGAGACCACUCAGAAAGACUUGUUGAUGUUCACUGUUUUGUCUCUUCCCAUUAUUUUUAAGUAUACAGUGUAAUGAGUUUUGACAAAUGUAUGCAUAUAAUCAGCAUUCUAUUAAUACUUAGAACGUUUCCUUCACAGCAGAAAGUUUCCGUGUGCCACUUUGCAGUCAAUACUUAGCCCUACUCUCCUCCCUGGGCAAACACUAAUCAGACUUCUAUCAAUAUAAAUUUGUUUUGCCUGGUUUAGAACUUCAUAUAAAUGGAAUCAUGUAGUAUGUACUCUUUCAUUUCCAGCUUCUUUCAGCACAGUGUUUUUUGAGAUUCAUCCAUGUUGAUAUGUGUCAGUAGUCUAUUUUUUUAUUACUGGAUACUAUUCCACUGUAUAAAUGGGAUUCUGCUCAUUUGUUUAUCCAUUCACCUGUUGUCGAACACUUAGACUGUUUCCAGGUUGAAGCUGUUACGAAUAAAGCUGCUGUGAACAUU